rnacentral:rRNA from 1 species
AUUGAACGCUAGCGGGAUGCCUUACACAUGCAAGUCGAACGAGUGGCGGACGGGUGAGUAAUAUAUCGGAAAGUGCCCAGUAGCGGGGGAUAACUACUCGAAAGAGUGGCUAAUACCGCAUACCAUCGGAGCGGCCCAUAUCGGAUUAGCUAGUUGGGGGGGUAAAGGCUCACCAAGGCAACGAUCCGUAGCUGGUAUGAGAGGACGACCAGCCACACUGGGACUGAGACACGGCCCAGACUCCUACGGGAGGCAGCAGUGGGGAAUUUUGUACAAUGGGAGAAACCCUGAUCCAGCCAUCCCGCGUGUAUGAGAAGGCCUUCGGGUUGUAAAGUACUUUAAGCGGAGAAGCGGUAUCUGCAGAAGAAGCACCGGCUAACUCCGUGCCAGCAGCCGCGGUAAUUC